rnacentral:rRNA from 1 species
GCUGUCUGGCUGUUGCGGUUAAACCGGUGUUGCAUUGUCCCUGUGGCUUUGCUUGAUCGGGAUGGCAGGUAGCUCGUUGACUUGCUUGUGGCUUGCUGCAGGCGUUCAGUCUUCGGGUGUAAUCAGCUGACCGCCUCGGUUCUGUGCGGUGUGUCGGAGACGGCGGCUUUUGCGUGUGCGUGCGUGCCUGUUCGUCUGGUGUGCCCGAGUUCUGGUUGUUAUGUCGCCUGUGGAUGCAGGCCUGAUGAUGGCUCGGGUUCGUGCGGGCGGCGGUUGCGUGCGUGUCACGGUGAUGGGGCCCAUAGUCUGUGGUGUAGUGGUAGACUAUCCACCCGACCCGUCUUGAAACACGGACCAAGGAGAGUAACAUGUGCGCGAGUCAUUGGGCGCUACGAAACCCAGAGGCGCAGUGAAAGUAAAGGUCUGGCUUGUCCUGACUGUGGUGAGAUCCUGUCGUUCCUCAUGCGUGGUACCGUCAAGCAUCGAGCGGCAGGCGCAUCACCGGCCCGUCCCAUGACAAUUGUUUUUCGACAUUACCCAGUCGGGGCGGAGCAUAGCGA